GCGCUCACUUCAGCAGCACAUAUACUGAAAUUGAAACGGUACAGAGAAGAUUAGCAUGAUCCCCGCGCAAGGAUGAUAUGCAAAUUCAAGAAGCACUAAAAAAAAUU
rnacentral:snRNA from 1 species